rnacentral:rRNA from 1 species
ACAACCGAGGUGCAAAGGCUGUCGCUGACCCUCAAAGGUUGUGCACGCCCGAGCGCUCUCACACAAUCCAUCUCACCUUGUGCAUCACCGCGUGGGUCCCCUUUGCGGGAGGGCUCGCGUUUUCACAUAAUAACUCGAUACAGUGUAGAAUGUUUCUUUUGCGGUCACACGCAAUCAGUACAACUUUCAACAACGGAUCUCUUGGCUCUCGCAUCGAUGAAGAACGCAGCGAAAUGCGAUACGUAAUGUGAAUUGCAGAAUUCAGUGAAUCAUCGAAUCUUUGAACGCACCUUGCGCCCCUUGGCAUUCCGAGGGGCACACCCGUUUGAGUGUCGUGAAUUCUUCAAAACCCUUUUUUCUUCGAACCAUCGUGGUCGGGAAAAGGAUUUUUGGACUUGGAGGUUUAAUGCUCGCCCUUUCUUUUGAAAGCGAGCUCCUCUCAAAUGAAUUAGUGGGGUCCGCUUUGCUGAUCCUUGACGUGAUAAAAUGUUUCUACGUUUUGGGUUUAGCACUGUCGCUUGGAUGCCUGCUCCUAACCCGUCUCAUUGACAAUGAUGGUGCUCUGGUCACUGCCGUCUACAUCGGCGGGAGGCUGGACCCACAAAAAGAAAAACCUUGA